UACGUAGGGUGCGAGCGUUGUCCGGAAUUAUUGGGCGUAAAGAGCUCGUAGGUGGCUUGUCACGUCGGGUGUGAAAUCCCAGGGCUUAACCCUGGGUCUGCUUUCGAUACGGGCUGGCUAGGGUCCUUCAGGGGAGACUGGAAUUCCUGGUGUAGCGGUGAAAUGCGCAGAUAUCAGGAGGAACACCGGUGGCGAAGGCGGGUCUCUGGGAAGGUACCGACGCUGAGGAGCGAAAGCGUGGGGAGCAAACAGG
rnacentral:rRNA from 1 species